rnacentral:rRNA from 1 species
AAGAGCUGCGCGGCUAUACUGCAGUCGAGCGGAUCUUCAUUAGCUUGCUUUUGAAGAUCAGCGGCGGACGGGUGAGUAACACGUGGGCAACCUGCCUGUAAGACUGGGAUAACUUCGGGAAACCGGAGCUAAUACCGGAUAAUCCUUUCCCUCACAUGAGGGAAAGCUGAAAGACGGUUUCGGCUGUCACUUACAGAUGGGCCCGCGGCGCAUUAGCUAGUUGGUGAGGUAACGGCUCACCAAGGCCACGAUGCGUAGCCGACCUGAGAGGGUGAUCGGCCACACUGGGACUGAGACACGGCCCAGACUCCUACGGGAGGCAGCAGUAGGGAAUCUUCCGCAAUGGACGAAAGUCUGACGGAGCAACGCCGCGUGAACGAUGAAGGCUUUCGGGUCGUAAAGUUCUGUUGUCAGGGAAGAACAAGUACCGGAGUAACUGCCGGUACCUUGACGGUACCUGACCAGAAAGCCACGGCUAACUACGUGCCAGCAGCCGCGGUAAUACGUAGGUGGCAAGCGUUGUCCGGAAUUAUUGGGCGUAAAGCGCGCGCAGGCGGUUCCUUAAGUCUGAUGUGAAAGCCCCCGGCUCAACCGGGGAGGGUCAUUGGAAACUGGGGAACUUGAGUGCAGAAGAGGAGAGCGGAAUUCCACGUGUAGCGGUGAAAUGCGUAGAGAUGUGGAGGAACACCAGUGGCGAAGGCGGCUCUCUGGUCUGUAACUGACGCUGAGGCGCGAAAGCGUGGGGAGCGAACAGGAUUAGAUACCCUGGUAGUCCACGCCGUANACGAUGAGUGCUAAGUGUUAGAAGGUUUCCCGCCCUUUAGUGCUGCAGCAAACGCAUUAAGC